rnacentral:rRNA from 1 species
UACGUAGGGUGCGAGCGUUGUCCGGAAUUACUGGGCGUAAAGAGCUCGUAGGUGGUUUGUCGCGUUGUUCGUGAAAUCUCACGGCUUAACUGUGAGCGUGCGGGCGAUACGGGCAGACUAGAGUACUGCAGGGGAGACUGGAAUUCCUGGUGUAGCGGUGGAAUGCGCAGAUAUCAGGAGGAACACCGAUGGCGAAGGCAGAUCUCUGGGCCGUAACUGGACGCUGAGGAGCGAAAGCAUGGGGAGCGAACAGG